CGGUAAUUCCAGCUCCAAUAGCGUAUACUAAAGUUGUUGCAGUUAAAAAGCUCGUAGUUGGAUUUCUGCGGGGACGGAGCGGCCGGUCGCAACUUGCGACUCGCGCUAGCGCUUUCCCCGCAUCCUGCCGCGAACCGUGCUACCAUUAGUUUGGUGGCGCUGGGGAUCGGCUCGAUUACUUUGAGAAAAAUAGAGUGUUCAAAGCAGGCCACACGCCUUGGAUAAGUUAGCAUGGAAUAAUGACUAAGGACUUCGGUUCUAUUUUGUUGGUGUUCGGGACUGAAGUAAUGAUUGAUAGGGACAGUUGGGGCGGUCUGUAUUCCAAAGCGAGAGGUGAAAUUCUUAGACCUUCGGAAGACAAACAGCUGCGAAAGCGUUCCGCAAGGAUGUUCCCUUUGAUCAAGAACGAAGGUUGGGGGAUCGAAGACGAUCAGAUACCGUCGUAGUCUCAACUAUAAACUAUACCAGCUAGGGAUCGGUCAACGUUUAAUUAUUCGACUUGAUCGGCACCUUAUGAGAAAUCAAAGCAUCUGGGUUCCGGGGGAGUAUGGUCGCAAGGCUGAAACUUAAAGGAAUUGACGGAAGGGCACCACCAGCCGUGGAGCCUGUGGCUUAAUUUGACUCAACACGGGAAAACUUACCAGGUCCAGACAUAGUAAGGAUUGACAGAUUGAUAGCUCUUUCUUGAUUCUGUGGGUGGUGGUGCAUGGCCGUUCUUAGUUGGUGGAGUGAUUUGUCUGGUUAAUUCCGUUAACGAACGAGACCCCAGCCUGCUAAAUAGCGCGGCUGAGCUUUGCUCGGUGCGAGCUUCUUAGAGGGACUAUGAUGCGCGAUAGCACAUGGAAGUUUGGGGCAAUAACAGGUCUGUGAUGCCCUUAGAUGUUCUGGGCCGCACACGGGCUACACUGGCGCCUGCAACGAGCAUAUCAGCUGGCCCGAGAGGGUCUUGGCUAAUCUUUUGAACCGGCGCCGUGCUUGGGAUUGACCUUUGCAAUUGUUGGUCAUGCAACGAGGAAUGCCUUGUAAACGCGAGUCAUCAGCUCGCAUUGAAUACGUCCCUGCCCUUUGUACACACCGCCCGUCGCUCCUACCGAUGAAUGUUCCGAUGAAAUUUUCGGAGAGCGCCAGAGAACGGGGCUCUGCCUUGCAGAUCUGGAGGCUCAAAGUCACUUAAAUCUGAACAUUUCGAGGAAGGAGAAGUCGUAACAAGGUAACC
rnacentral:rRNA from 1 species